rnacentral:lncRNA from 1 species
AGUCGGUAACAGAUCCUCGACCAUCCAGUCGGAGACUAGCAUUCGGAGGAUCUCAAGCUAACCGACUAGCUACACUCGGUACAUCGUAACCUCUCUGGAGGGAAACGGUCGCGCGUUUCCGGGUGCAUUUAUUAGCAUUCAGAGCAUACGUUACCUGUAACGUACGCAUUCAAUCCCCACCACCCCACCCCUGUACCGGAACCGUUGUGGAGGGCAGCGCACUCUAUAUAAGCCACCCUCCCCCACUUGUUGAGGGGUUAGCAACUCAUUGUAUUCUAUAU